UACGUAGGCAGCAAGCGUUGUUCGGAGUUACUGGGCGUAAAGGGUGUGUAGGCGGUUGUUUAAGUUUGGUGUGAAAGCCCCCGGCUCAACUGGGGAGGGUCAUUCGAUACUGAUCGACUCGAAGGCAGGAGAGGGAAGUGGAAUUCCCGGUGUAGUGGUGAAAUGCGUAGAUAUCGGGAGGAACACCAGUGGCGAAGGCGACUUCCUGGCCUGUUCUUGACGCUGAGGCGCGAAAGCUAGGGGAGCAAACGGG
rnacentral:rRNA from 1 species